rnacentral:lncRNA from 10 species
AGAAGGCUGAACAAAUGUUGACAGAGGAACACACUGUUUGCUUAUGUCUAAUCUUCCCAUCUGACUUAUAUAAAUGUCACAAAUGAAUCUCAGACAUGUGCCCAAUAUCAAAUAUCCAUACGAUGGCCCUGGAAAGAGGCAAUCUACAUUUAUGGCUGAUGAGAAGAUGGAUUUUUAGCUUGAAAGAAACUUAUUACUGGGGAGAGGAAGUAUAAAUGAAUGGAGAGAGCUAUGAAGAGGUUGAGAGAAUACAGCCAAGGCACAUGACAGAAUUGCUCUGUUGAAGUUUUGCAAGGUCAAAUGACUCACUUUGUCUAAUGGAACGGGAACGAACAAUUUUUUUGUGUCACGUUUGAACAGAUACCUUUGAGAAGUUUAUGAUUCUCCAAGUUCUCUUUCUCCUACUGUGGCACCUACUGACAAGAUAAAUGUGUAGAGGUUCCUGAGUCUAGGGGUGAGUCUUGCAUAUCUGAUGAAUCCACCAGUAAAAGUACCACUGCUGAAAUCACGCAAAUAUAUUUUUUUAGACCUUAUCAACCUUGGCAUGGAAUUAGAUGAGCAAAAAGCUGAGUUGAAUUGAUGAAAAGAAUCCCAAGUCAUUAAUUACUAAUGAUGGAGCUUGUAAAGUACAGCAUCACUGGGGAAAGCAACUGACUUUCCUCAUACACAUUAUAUUUUUAUCUGAAUUUCAAUACUGCUUAAAUAUGUACUUCAUUACAGGGCACAACUAAAAUAGAAGGGCACCUGCUAAGUCAGAGCCAUAAAACAGAUCUACAGCCUGCUGGCAUGUGAAAUUUCUCUAAUUUAUAUUUUUUAUGAAACUACCCUCACAUUAUGUGGUUGGCAGCAUAAAUAAUAAAGCAUGUUACUGAAGCAAUUUUACAUUUACUGUAUUAGUAAGUAAAUGCAAUGGCCACUCUUAUUCUCAAAUAAAAACUACCCAGCCUUUUCAUGAAAGAUGUUUGCAAUUUCCAUUGGCCUGUAUAUGCAAUAAAAAGCCAUAACUCAUCAAAA